GGAGCAGGACGAGGGGUCGCCGGGGUUUAAACCCCGGAGGAAAGUCCGGGCUCCACAGGGCAGGGAGCCGGCGUUGAGCCGGGCAGGGGCAACCCUGCGGAAGGGCCACAGAGAACAGACCGCCACCUACAAGGUGGUAAGGGUGAAACGGUGGUGUAAGAGACCACCGCUCCAACCCGCAAGGGAAGGAGGCACGGCAACCCCCUCCCGGAGCAAGGCUAAAUAGGCUGGCGCUUGAGGGUGGCCCGCCCGAUGCCAGCGGGUAAGCCGCACAGAUAAAUGACCCCCUCAGAACAGAACCCGGCUUACGGCCUGCUCCGCGU
rnacentral:RNase_P_RNA from 2 species